rnacentral:lncRNA from 1 species
AUGCCUUAUUCUGUGACCACACCACCUCCACCUCCUCCACCAGCACAUCCUGCCUCUCAACCAACUCCUCCAGCCCCUUACCCAAUGCAACCACCAGUUCCAAGUCUACCUCCCAGAAAUAUCAAAAUGCCCCCUGAGGCAAAAAGUUCAACAAGUGAAGAAAAUUAUGAUGAUGUUGAUAUGCAAUCCAAUGAUUAUGGAAAUCCAGAUGAGGAUCAAGACAGCAAUGGAGAAACAUACGAAGACAUGUGA